AUUGAACGCUGGCGGCGUGCUUAACACAUGCAAGUCGAUCGGUAACGCGGGGGCAACCCUGGCGACGAGAGGCGGACGGGUGAGGAACGCUUGGGAAUCUGCCCUUCAGCGGGGGACAACCCGGGGAAACUCGGGCUAAUACCGCAUACGCUCCACGGAGGAAAGCCGGGGACCGCAAGGCCUGGCACUGAAGGAUGAGCCCAAGUCGGAUUAGCUAGUUGGCGGGGUAACGGCCCACCAAGGCGACGAUCCGUAGCUGGUCUGAGAGGACGAUCAGACACACUGGGACUGAGAAACCGCCGAGGCGCCUACGGGAGGGAGCAGUGGGGAGUAUGGGACAAUGGGGGAAACCCUGAUCCAGCGACGCCGCGUGGGUGAAGAAGGCCUGCGGGUUGUAAAGCCCUUUCGGUAGGGACGAAAGCUCUCGACCUAACACGUCGGGAGGUUGACUUAACCUACAAAAGAAGCACCGGCUAACUCUGUGCCAGCCGCCGCCGUAAUAC
rnacentral:rRNA from 1 species